CAGUAGCGCGGUAAUACGAAGGGUGCAAGCGUUAAUCGGAAUUACUGGGCGUAAAGCGUGCGUAGGCGGUUUGUUAAGUCUGCUGUGAAAUCCCCGGGCUCAACCUGGGAAUGGCAGUGGAUACUGGCAAGCUAGAGUGUGUCAGAGGAUGGUGGAAUUCCCGGUGUAGCGGUGAAAUGCGUAGAGAUCGGGAGGAACAUCAGUGGCGAAGGCGGCCAUCUGGGACAACACUGACGCUGAGGCACGAAAGCGUGGGGAGCAAACAGGAUUAGAUACCCCCGUAGUCCCUGUCUCUUAUACA
rnacentral:rRNA from 1 species